AUUAGCAGAGCAACUGAGGCUCCAUUCCCAGCUGUUGUCAGUCCUUGGACCUCUGACUUCUGCGAUCACAUGGACACACAAGGGAAGGUGUGAAGCACCUUGACCCUCUCAAGUCAGAAAUCUGAACCAACUGAAACCUUCAGAACGCUAUUGUUAGAAUACUUGAUGUUAACUGAAGGUUACUUGAGGAGGUGCUAAGUGUCAGACCCAGCCCCCAUGUGCUUUCUUGUCUUGCAAUUUCUCCUGGGGUUCAUUCAGACAACGGAUAAGUUGCUGUAGGUUCAUUUACAAUCAGCAUAAGGAAACGCUGUUACAUUUGAGUUUUUCUGUCGAUGAAGAGAAACAACAAGUCAAGGGUCACAUUGUGGAACAACCUCAGAUUCCCGUUAGCCCAAGAAAAGCUUUGUCACUUAAGGCCCUGACCAGGAUAGAACCAAGGAUUAGAAAGGUCACCUUUGGAUGUUGAACCUUGAACGGACCGGGAGAUUCCAAGAUGCUGUCAGACAUCUAUCCCAGAUUUGGGAGCAAACGCUGUCUCCUCUUCUUCGGCUCUGAAGAGAAAACUUAAGACUGUGAAAAGAUUGGAUGAAAUACAGAUAAAGAGGUACCUCUGUUUGAAGUCUCCGUAGAGGAUCCUGUUGGGGAAACCUUUUCUGCAGAUCCUGAUUCCUUCCAGCACACCGUUACAGCGCAGCUGGUGCAUCACCAGAGGAUUCUCCAUGGCCCCAGGAGUCUUG